AUUGAACGCUGGCGGCAGGCCUAACACAUGCAAGUCGAGCGGAUGAAGGGAGCUUGCUCCUGGAUUCAGCGGCGAACGGGUGAGUAAUGCCUAGGAAUCUGCCUGGUAGUGGGGGAUAACGUCCGGAAACGGGCGCUAAUACCGCAUACGUCCUGAGGGAGAAAGUGGGGGUUCUUCGGACCUCACGCUAUCAGAUGAGCCUAGGUCGGAUUAGCUAGUUGGUGGGGUAAAGGCCUACCAAGGCGACGAUCCGUAACUGGUCUGAGAGGAUGAUCAGUCACACUGGAACUGGGACACGGUCCAGACUCCUACGGGAGGCAGCAGUGGGGAAUAUUGGACAAUGGGCGAAAGCCUGAUCCAGCCAUGCCGCGUGUGUGAAGAAGGUCUUCGGAUUGUAAAGCACUUUAAGUUGGGAGGAAGGGCAGUAAGUUAAUACCUUGCUGUUUUGACGUUACCAACAGAAUAAGCACCGGCUAACUUCGUG
rnacentral:rRNA from 1 species